GUCCACCCCGUAAACGUUGGGAACUAGUUGUGGGGUCCAUUCCACGGAUUCCGUGACGCAGCUAACGCAUUAAGUUCCCCGCCUGGGGGAGUACGGCCGCAAGGCUAAAAACUCAAAGGAAUUGACGGGGACCCGCACAAGCGGCGGAGCAUGCGGAUUAAUUCGAUGCAACGCGAAGAACCUUACCAAGGCUUGACAUAUACGAGAACGGGCUAGAAAUAGUCAACUCUUUGGACACUCGUAAACAGGUGGUGCAUGGUUGUCGU
rnacentral:rRNA from 1 species